rnacentral:tRNA from 1 species
AGAAGGAUAGCUCAGUGGUAGAGAGCAUGCUUAGCAUGCACAAGGUCCUGGGUUUGAUCCCCAGUACCUCCA